AAAUUCGCCCCGCUGCUUCUAAGUGAGUGCAGGGAACUUCAUUCAGGAUGGAGAAAGCGGCGCUUUGGCUGGUUCUGAUCUCGGUGGCCUCGCUUCGCUGCAAUGGCGAUCCCGAUUUUGUCACAGAAGGGCAGUACAUCAAGAUCAAACGCAGCUUGUUCGCGAUGCUGAUAGUAUUCGCGGUGAUGGUGUUCGCCCUGGCCAUCGUAAUCCUCAAAUACCUGCGGCCGGGGAAGAGAUCCGCGGACGAGACCAUCUCCGGCGGCUCCUCCGCCGACAACAAGUUCCGCGGCGGGGAGGUGAUCAACCGGUGGUCGGGGCUGUACAGGUUCACCAAGGCGGAGAUCGAGAGGGCGAUGGACUACGCCAACAACCGGAUCUACCUCGGCUCCGGCAGCGCCGGGCAGGUUUACCAGGGGGUGCUCCCCAGCGGCCAGCUCGUCGCCAUCAAGCACAUCCACCGGACCGCCAUGUCCGGGUCCUUCACCAGGGAGGCGGAUGGACUCUCCAAGGUCCGGCACCCCAACCUCGUCUGCCUCUUUGGGUACUGCGACGACGGCACCGACCAGUACUUGGUAUAUGAGUACUGCGCCAACGGCAACCUGGCCCAGAAUCUACUCAGAAGUGACUCUGUGCUCCCAUGGCCAACAAGAGUGAAGAUCCUAAGGGACUGUGCAUCUGUCCUGAGGUUUCUUCACACACACUCUGAUGGAUGCAUUGUACAUAGGGACAUUAAGCUUACCAACAUCUUGCUGACGGAGAACAUGGAGCCCAAGUUGUCUGAUUUUGGGCUGGCAAAAUUGCUGGCAAUGGAGGAGACCAAGGUGUUCACGGAUGUGAGGGGAACCAUCGGUUACAUGGAUCCUGAGUACAUCACACAUUCCAAGCUCACUUGUUCAAGCGACAUCUACAGCUUUGGUGUGGUUGUGCUGCAGCUUCUGUCAGGAAGGAAGGUCAUAGAACUCGACAUUGUCGCGCGCGAUUCUCUUACAAAGAAGGCCAAGGACGUCGUAAGUGGGAAAAAACCAUUGGAUGAAUUCAUAGACAACCGCAUUCGAGAUGAAGUUAACAUCGAAGAUUUUGUGCUGAUAUUAAAGAUAGCAGUCCUCUGCGUGGCACACUCUAGCGUAGGGCGUCCGACAAUAAAGGAUGUGUAUGAGGAGAUGGACAAAGCAUGGAGAAAUACAAUCACAAAGGCUGCUAGGGCAAGGAAUGAGAUAAGCUCGUCAAAUACAGUCCAUUAUCCGAAAGUCAUCGAUGUAUAGUGCACCCAUUUUGUCCAAGGAAAGAUUGAAAGAAAAAUAAUGGUGUCGAAUCUGAAAGGGCUAUUCACAUGGACACAUGAAGUGCGUAGAAUUAAGUUAGACAUCCUUUUAAACAUGAUACAAUCUCAAGGGCGAACGGCCAGAUGCCUGCAUUUGAUUGACAAUUUCAAAGUGCAAACACUUCAUUGGUCAUUGACGCUCGAAGUUGGUCACAACAGCAACAAGAUGAGGGUGGCAGUGGCAAUCAGAACAGAUCUUUUAGCACUAUCUGGUUGUAGUGGCAUCCUUCUAAGAUAUGUACAUAUCCUCGUCUGUCUGUGUGUAUGUAUCGAGAUGCGAGUUUUGUAUUUUUCUCAAAAAUAUAUUCGUGUGCUAUUAUUAUUAUCUGUAGUAUCCUUUUGUGGCUACUUACA